UUGCGUCGUCGCCGCCUCAGCCUCCUCCUCCUAUCGCUGCUGCGCCGGCGCCACCCCCUGUGGAUCUAGCCACCCAGAGGAAGGAGAGGGUCGCCCUCUUCUCCCCUCUCAUCUCCAAGCCAUCACUGCCUCCCUCUUUCUCUCCCAAUCCUCGGUGAGCUGCAGAUCCGGUUUGGGGGCCAUCGGAAUCGAUGUUCUUGGCCUCCCCAACGGUCUCCUUGCUGGUGAAUCCGCGCCCCUCAAAGGUGACGCAUGGAAGCCGAAGCCACCCCCACCGCCGUCUUCUCCCGCCACCGCCCAUCCUGGCCUCCUUCUCCACCCUCUUCCUCACCUUCACCUCGAUGCCGGAUCUUGCUUUAGGGUCGCCAGAUUUGGUAAGGGAAGGACAUAGGAGCGUUGGGGCUGAGUGAUUGGAGAGGCAGCAGCUCGGGCACGACAUUGACGACGGUGGUUGCGGCCCGGCGACGAUGGCAGGUGCAACGACAACGGCAGCAGUGGCUCGCUAGGCAGCGUGAUCUGCAAUCAUUGGGGGUGAUUUCUUCUCCAAAACAAGCAGGUGACUUUCUAUAGUCCACCAAGGAGUGAUGGCAGGAUAAAAGUGACUCUUCUCUACCAUGGUGAUCCAUCCCAGAAAGCUUCUCCGACCACUACAUCCUAUUUUACAUUGAGGAAUCAUCUGCAGCAGAGGCACUAAUUCAACCAAAAAGGGAAAACAUACUUGGGAUAUUCAGGGCACAGCAGCAACUAAGUUGAAAAUAAAGCAGAAAGAAGCUUUGGGGGUGGCGGAGAAAAGAGGAGGAAGGAGAGGGACUGGAAGUGUUAUUGGUUCCAGUGCUGCUGGUUGUGUCUGUGCUCUGCUAUCAAUCUACAAUGUAGGCAGUGCAGCGUUGGCUGAGCUCUGGAGACUUGGCUUCGUUGCUAGUUAUUGUACUAAACUAAGUGACACAGUUUCCAGUGAAAUAGGGAAGGCCUACGGAAGAACAACAGUAGGUACCUGGUGACAACACUUAAGGUUGUUCCGCGAGGUACAGAAGGUGCGAUCAGUAUUGAGGGUACUCUAGCUGGAAUUCUUGCAUCGAUAAUUCUUGCAAGUGUUGGUUAUCUCCUGGGGCAGGUUAAUGUAUCACAAGGCGCAGUAUGUGUCCUUGCAUCCCAGAUUGCAAAUUUUUGUGAGAGUUAUAUUGGUGCCACACUACAAGAUAAAGAAGGUUUUGAAUGGCUCACCAAUGAUGUUGUCAAUGUACUAAAUAUCUCAACUGGUGGUAUAUUGGCUGUUCUGAUGCAGCAGUUGCUAGUAAGUUGGCGCUCUUGAAUACUUUUUUAUGACUUCUUUUGUUCAGCCUCCGUUAUUAUAACUUAUUAUGGAGAAAUGACUGGUUGAUGGCAAUGUUCUUACAUGCUGCUGCCAUGUGAAAUGGAAGUAUAAAUUCCGGUCUUAGAGAUCAUAUUUGAGCGGAUAAACAUUUGUGGAUGUAGUUAUCUGUGUCAAUCCUUCUGGUAUAUCCAUAGUUCGGUUUCUUGUACUGCUAGUAAAAUCUGUGAGCGUGUGAUUGGGUA